CGAGCUGGCCAACAUGCCUAGAGACGUUAUAAGGGACGUGUUCAGAACCACCACCCCGAGGGCCACGACGUCUUCCGUUUUGCCGGAGACGAAUGCCGACAAUGAAAUCACUUCGACGGAGGAGAAUACAGAUGCUCUCGGGAGGUCCGCCGAGGACAGCGUUGGCCCUGCCUCUCCGACCGAAACAGCCUCGGGAAUCAUGGACUCCUCGAAGGAUGUUGAGUCCGUCCCGGAGGGCUCCAACGAUACAGUCGUCAUAGGUGGCCGCAAUGCCUGACACUUCAGAGGGCAGGCAGCUCCGUCUCAGACUCGCCACGAGGAGCUCCGCCUAGGUGUGUUGAAGAGGACAUAACAUAGAAACGAAAAAAGAGCACCAGCACCAUGACACAAUAUGCUUACUG